CAUCAUAUAGGCUAUAAAAUCCCCUUGCAAGGAGUUUUUGUUUCUGCAGAAUGCAUGCCAUCACUUUUACUCUUCAUACUUUAAAGGGGUCAUAGGAUGCCCAUUUUCCACAAGUUGAUAUGAUUCUUUAGGGUCUUAAUGGAGAGUCUGUAACAUAGUUUGGUUAAAAUUUCUCAAUGGUAGUGUAAAACCCAUUUUUUCUACCUGUCAAAAACAGUUCUUUUCAGAGCACACAGUUCAGUAGGAUUUCCAUUUCCAAAGCCGACCUCAUACAUCAUCAGCCCGGAGCUGCUUCCGUGUACAACAGUGAGCGCAAGCUACAUUAAAGAAAUUAUUACGUUUUGAAUAUGGAUAUUUUUCAUACAAAAAUGCAUCAAUUCGCUAGAGGAGGCCUUUGCUCACCCCCCGGAGCCAUGUGAGACACUUUUUUUAAUGGAUGGGCGCUUUUUAUUUCUCUGCUUUUGGACUGAUGCAUGUAACACCUGCUGAGUGGCAUUAAACAGCUUGAAAGAUCAAAGACAAUUUUUAAUAUAAGUCUGACUGGAUUCGUCUGAAAGAAGAAAGUCAUAUACACCUAGGAUGACUUGAGGAACACCUUAAUCUCUUAGGAGUCAUUCUUGUCUACAUCUGCUCCAGCGUCGAAACAAUGGCGGACUGAUGACAGCUCACUCAGGGCGGGUCUAAGGUGGGUGGCCAACUUCACGAAGGUCAACACAGUGAGGCUGUGAAUGUCAGAACAUCUGAACAUUAAGUGCAGCACAAACUUCUCUGAUCCAGACAGCUACGACUUGGUAUUUUCUUGUGGGACCAGCAUGGAGGUGACCAGGUUGCCAUAUUUGUUGAGCAGCAAAAGGGUACAGCGGAGGUGAAGCUCCUUAUUCUGAAGCAGAAGGGGGGAGAGGUCUGUGGAAAGGUUGGACUUCACUGUUCUGUAAACAGAGUGGUGAUCAUCAACAGUUCAGACUAUAAGCUCGAAGAUGUGCAGAUCUGCGAUGGAACGGGUGAGAUGAAGGUCAGCUUCAUCAACGUAGCAUGAGGCCGGCAACUCCUAUGUUUUCAAGAACCUUUCUAUGCAAGAGAGAUGGGUGCUUAUGCAUGUGCACUGGUCCAUCCAGUACCAUGGAGCAGAUCUCUGACUUUGAGGUGGUGGAGGGAGAAGGCAGGCAGCAGGAAGACAGAUCAACAGCACUUCUCAGUCCCACAAUAAAGGGCAUAGAGGUGACGAUUCAAUGGUGGUGUUCCAGCUGCCAGUACAAGCAGAGGGAGUUUGUGGAGAAGUCAAACAUGCACAGGUGCGAGGGCUGCAGACUGUAACAGGUGUCGCUGUCAUUCUCCGCCUCUUUUGGAGGGAAAGCUACUAUCUGCACUGAAAACGGCAAGGAGAGUGUACCAGUGUGUUCAAUGAUGUGGAGGUAAUCAUGGGUAACUUUCUACAGUUGUCCGCCUUUGACCUGAAAGUUAACGUGGAUGGCUUCCUUCUGUCUAUCCAGCC
ensembl:lncRNA